UUAAGCGACUAAGCGUACACGGUGGAUGCCCUGGCAGUCAGAGGCGAUGAAGGACGUGCUAAUCUGCGAUAAGCGUCGGUAAGGUGAUAUGAACCGUUAUAACCGGCGAUUUCCGAAUGGGGAAACCCAGUGUGUUUCGACACACUAUCAUUAACUGAAUCCAUAGGUUAAUGAGGCGAACCGGGGGAACUGAAACAUCUAAGUACCCCGAGGAAAAGAAAUCAACCGAGAUUCCCCCAGUAGCGGCGAGCGAACGGGGAGCAGCCCAGAGCCUGAAUCAGUGUGUGUGUUAGUGGAAGCGUCUGGAAAGGCGCGCGAUACAGGGUGACAGCCCCGUACACAAAAAUGCACAUGCUGUGAGCUCGAUGAGUAGGGCGGGACACGUGGUAUCCUGUCUGAAUAUGGGGGGACCAUCCUCCAAGGCUAAAUACUCCUGACUGACCGAUAGUGAACCAGUACCGUGAGGGAAAGGCGAAAAGAACCCCGGCGAGGGGAGUGAAAAAGAACCUGAAACCGUGUACGUACAAGCAGUGGGAGCACGCUUAGGCGUGUGACUGCGUACCUUUUGUAUAAUGGGUCAGCGACUUAUAUUCUGUAGCAAGGUUAACCGAAUAGGGGAGCCGAAGGGAAACCGAGUCUUAACUGGGCGUUAAGUUGCAGGGUAUAGACCCGAAACCCGGUGAUCUAGCCAUGGGCAGGUUGAAGGUUGGGUAACACUAACUGGAGGACCGAACCGACUAAUGUUGAAAAAUUAGCGGAUGACUUGUGGCUGGGGGUGAAAGGCCAAUCAAACCGGGAGAUAGCUGGUUCUCCCCGAAAGCUAUUUAGGUAGCGCCUCGUGAAUUCAUCUCCGGGGGUAGAGCACUGUUUCGGCAAGGGGGUCAUCCCGACUUACCAACCCGAUGCAAACUGCGAAUACCGGAGAAUGUUAUCACGGGAGACACACGGCGGGUGCUAACGUCCGUCGUGAAGAGGGAAACAACCCAGACCGCCAGCUAAGGUCCCAAAGUCAUGGUUAAGUGGGAAACGAUGUGGGAAGGCCCAGACAGCCAGGAUGUUGGCUUAGAAGCAGCCAUCAUUUAAAGAAAGCGUAAUAGCUCACUGGUCGAGUCGGCCUGCGCGGAAGAUGUAACGGGGCUAAACCAUGCACCGAAGCUGCGGCAGCGACGCUGAUGCGUUGUUGGGUAGGGGAGCGUUCUGUAAGCCUGCGAAGGUGUGCUGUGAGGCAUGCUGGAGGUAUCAGAAGUGCGAAUGCUGACAUAAGUAACGAUAAAGCGGGUGAAAAGCCCGCUCGCCGGAAGACCAAGGGUUCCUGUCCAACGUUAAUCGGGGCAGGGUGAGUCGACCCCUAAGGCGAGGCCGAAAGGCGUAGUCGAUGGGAAACAGGUUAAUAUUCCUGUACUUGGUGUUACUGCGAAGGGGGGACGGAGAAGGCUAUGUUGGCCGGGCGACGGUUGUCCCGGUUUAAGCGUGUAGGCUGGUUUUCCAGGCAAAUCCGGAAAAUCAAGGCUGAGGCGUGAUGACGAGGCACUACGGUGCUGAAGCAACAAAUGCCCUGCUUCCAGGAAAAGCCUCUAAGCAUCAGGUAACAUCAAAUCGUACCCCAAACCGACACAGGUGGUCAGGUAGAGAAUACCAAGGCGCUUGAGAGAACUCGGGUGAAGGAACUAGGCAAAAUGGUGCCGUAACUUCGGGAGAAGGCACGCUGAUAUGUAGGUGAAGCGACUUGCUCGUGGAGCUGAAAUCAGUCGAAGAUACCAGCUGGCUGCAACUGUUUAUUAAAAACACAGCACUGUGCAAACACGAAAGUGGACGUAUACGGUGUGACGCCUGCCCGGUGCCGGAAGGUUAAUUGAUGGGGUUAGCGCAAGCGAAGCUCUUGAUCGAAGCCCCGGUAAACGGCGGCCGUAACUAUAACGGUCCUAAGGUAGCGAAAUUCCUUGUCGGGUAAGUUCCGACCUGCACGAAUGGCGUAAUGAUGGCCAGGCUGUCUCCACCCGAGACUCAGUGAAAUUGAACUCGCUGUGAAGAUGCAGUGUACCCGCGGCAAGACGGAAAGACCCCGUGAACCUUUACUAUAGCUUGACACUGAACAUUGAGCCUUGAUGUGUAGGAUAGGUGGGAGGCUUAGAAGUGUGGACGCCAGUCUGCAUGGAGCCGACCUUGAAAUACCACCCUUUAAUGUUUGAUGUUCUAACGUUGACCCGUAAUCCGGGUUGCGGACAGUGUCUGGUGGGUAGUUUGACUGGGGCGGUCUCCUCCUAAAGAGUAACGGAGGAGCACGAAGGUUGGCUAAUCCUGGUCGGACAUCAGGAGGUUAGUGCAAUGGCAUAAGCCAGCUUGACUGCGAGCGUGACGGCGCGAGCAGGUGCGAAAGCAGGUCAUAGUGAUCCGGUGGUUCUGAAUGGAAGGGCCAUCGCUCAACGGAUAAAAGGUACUCCGGGGAUAACAGGCUGAUACCGCCCAAGAGUUCAUAUCGACGGCGGUGUUUGGCACCUCGAUGUCGGCUCAUCACAUCCUGGGGCUGAAGUAGGUCCCAAGGGUAUGGCUGUUCGCCAUUUAAAGUGGUACGCGAGCUGGGUUUAGAACGUCGUGAGACAGUUCGGUCCCUAUCUGCCGUGGGCGCUGGAGAACUGAGGGGGGCUGCUCCUAGUACGAGAGGACCGGAGUGGACGCAUCACUGGUGUUCGGGUUGUCAUGCCAAUGGCACUGCCCGGUAGCUAAAUGCGGAAGAGAUAAGUGCUGAAAGCAUCUAAGCACGAAACUUGCCCCGAGAUGAGUUCUCCCUGACUCCUUGAGAGUCCUGAAGGAACGUUGAAGACGACGACGUUGAUAGGCCGGGUGUGUAAGCGCAGCGAUGCGUUGAGCUAACCGGUACUAAUGAACCGUGAGGCUUAACCUU
rnacentral:rRNA from 1 species